UCCGCAAUGGGCGCAAGCCUGACGGAGCAAGACCGCGUGAGGGAGGACGGUCUGUGGAUUGUAAACCUCUUUUCUCAGGGAAGAAGAACUGACGGUACCUGAGGAAUCAGCAUCGGCUAACUCCGUGCCAGCAGCCGCGGUAAUACGGAGGAUGCAAGCGUUAUCCGGAAUUAUUGGGCGUAAAGCGUCCGUAGGUGGUUGAGCAAGUCUGCUGUCAAAGAGUGGAGCUUAACUUCAUAGAGGCGGUGGAAACUGCUGAGCUAGAGUGCGGCAGGGGUAGAGGGAAUUCCCAGUGUAGCGGUGAAAUGCGUAGAUAUCGGGAAGAACACCAGUGGCGAAAGCGCUCUACUGGGCCGCAACUGACACUGAUGGACGAAAGCUAGGGGAGCGAAAGGGAUUAGAUACCCC
rnacentral:rRNA from 1 species